rnacentral:rRNA from 1 species
GAUGAACGCUUUUGGGAGGCCUAACACAUGCAAGCCGAGCGGUAUUGUUUCUUCGGAAAUGAGAGAGCGGCGUACGGGUGCGGAACACGUGUGCAACCUGCCUUUAUCUGGGGGAUAGCCUUUCGAAAGGAAGAUUAAUACUCCAUAAUAUAUUGAACGGCAUCGUUUAAUAUUGAAAGCUCCGGCGGAUAGAGAUGGGCACGCGCAAGAUUAGCUAGUUGGUGAGGUAACGGCUCACCAAGGCGAUGAUCUUUAGGGGGCCUGAGAGGGUGAUCCCCCACACUGGUACUGAGACACGGACCAGACUCCUACGGGAGGCAGCAGUGAGGAAUAUUGGUCAAUGGGUGCAAGCCUGAACCAGCCAUCCCGCGUGAAGGACGACUGCCCUAUGGGUUGUAAACUUCUUUUGUAUAGGGAUAAACCUACCCUCGUGAGGGUAGCUGAAGGUACUAUACGAAUAAGCACCGGCUAACUCCGUGCCAGCAGCCGCGGUAAUACGGAGGGUGCAAGCGUUAUCCGGAUUUAUUGGGUUUAAAGGGUCCGUAGGCGGACUUAUAAGUCAGUGGUGAAAGCCUGUCGCUUAACGAUAGAACUGCCAUUGAUACUGUAAGUCUUGAGUAUAUUUGAGGUAGCUGGAAUAAGUAGUGUAGCGGUGAAAUGCAUAGAUAUUACUUAGAACACCAAUUGCGAAGGCAGGUUACCAAGAUAUAACUGACGCUGAGGGACGAAAGCGUGGGGAGCGAACAGGAUUAGAUACCCUGGUAGUCCACGCCGUAAACGAUGCUAACUCGUUUUUGGGCUUUAGGGUUCAGAGACCAAGCGAAAGUGAUAAGUUAGCCACCUGGGGAGUACGCUCGCAAGAGUGAGACUCAAAGGAAUUGACGGGGGCCCGCACAAGCGGUGGAUUAUGUGGUUUAAUUCGAUGAUACGCGAGGAACCUUACCAAGACUUAAAUGGGAAUUGACAGCUUUAGAAAUAGAGCUUUCUUCGGACAAUUUUCAAGGUGCUGCAUGGUUGUCGUCAGCUCGUGCCGUGAGGUGUUAGGUUAAGUCCUGCAACGAGCGCAACCCCUGUCACUAGUUGCCAUCAUUCAGUUGGGGACUCUAGUGAGACUGCCUACGCAAGUAGAGAGGAAGGUGGGGAUGACGUCAAAUCAUCACGGCCCUUACGUCUUGGGCCACACACGUAAUACAAUGGCCGGUACAGAGGGCAGCUACACAGCGAUGUGAUGCAAAUCUCGAAAGCCGGUCUCAGUUCGGAUUGGAGUCUGCAACUCGACUCUAUGAAGCUGGAAUCGCUAGUAAUCGCGCAUCAGCCAUGGCGCGGUGAAUACGUUCCCGGGCCU